rnacentral:misc_RNA from 1 species
AUAUGAACCCUAAUUUUCCUCUCCUCCCCUAAAUUUUCCAAAUUUUUCAAAUAAUCGAAAAGAAACAAAUGUAGGUAUAUGCCAUAUAAUACAAAAUUUUCAAAUAAUCGAUAAGAAACAGAUAUAGAUAGAUGCCAAAAUUUUCAAAUAAAGAAAAUGAAUCAAAAUUGAUAAAAUCACUUAGGUCGUUAAAAUCACUGGGGUGUCUGGAAGACCAAGGGCGUGUCUCUCCCUUUUCAGAUGAGAAAUUCUUCAACUAAAUCUUGUUUUGGCCUCCUCCUCCUCUCUCUCUCUGACAUGUCACAGGCCUAUUGGAUGAGCAAAGAGCAUCAGAAAGCAUCUCACAGCCUCUAGUGUGCCUAAAGUGAAUCCCAUAGCUACCCAUGCGCUCUCCUUGAAUCUCACAGACGCUUGCGCCGCCUACUUUCUAAUCUCACAAGAAGGCAUGAGAUGUUCUGCCUCUAUGUACAGUAUCCAUUUUUCAUCAAUUAAAGAUCAAUAGAAAACAGGAUGAGUUUUUUCACUAGAUUAUGUGUUCAUCUUUCAGUGUUGUAUAGCCC